UGAAUAUUUCAGUAUUUAGAUUACCUGCAGCAGCAUUGCUGAAGAUUUGUCGGAGCACCUCGGACAGGAGUGUAACGGGGAAAAAAGCAGCUGUAUGGCACCCAUUCACUGCAGAGGAUCCAUUGGUGAAGAAGUGAUGUAAUGCUACAUUUCUCCUACAAAUCUGUUCUGAUGAUGAAAUAACUCAUCUACAUCUAGGAUCACCUGAGGUGGAGGGCGCCGUUACUCUGUAGGAUCAGAAGGAACCGGUUUCCCUCUCAUUUCACUUUCUCCUUUGCAUUUCGGUUGACCUGUGCACCA
ensembl:lncRNA